AAAACGCAAAAGAAAUGUAGCAAAGAUGGCCACAUAAAUGUGAAGUAUAUAACGGUAUUUAUGCAACUUCAGCGUUUACUUAAUGUAUUUAUGUAACCCGCGAGUAAGUAACAUUUCAGGGACGCUUUUCCAUGAAAAUAUAUGUAAAGGCUUUUAUAACAUGUUAACUCUAACUCUUACUUGCAAACUACAACAUAUAGUAAGAAAUGCGCUUUCAAUUAAAACGCUUCGCUUUACGGAUACUAUAGUAUAGGGUCAUCGAGGGCUGGUCGAGAAUUCACAUGCUCAGCACAACUACAGAACGAGCAGGGGAUGAAUGUAAAUGUUUUGUCUGGGAAGGUGCACAGAUUCGGCAGAUAUCAGCGAAUGAGUAUUUAUUAAUUUACUACGAGACUCUUUGGCUCAGUGGAGGACAGAGGGCCGGGUGGCAGUAUGGCUUCAUGUGCCUAUCUCUUUUAGCCGUUGUGCCGCAGCUGCCUCUGCUCAUGGCUUCACCUACCAUCACGCCAAACAGGACCAAGCCAUUCUGUCUCUGUGGCUGGGGGAUGGGCAGAGCAGGCUGCCCUGGUUUGCUACUCAUCACAUUGGAGUGGCAGGUAGUAUAGUCCUUGUGUAACCUGACCUAUAUCAUCAUAGGUUUAUACUGCUCGGGAUCAGGUCUGCUUCAGGUAUCGUAAAGCCUUUACACACACGCUUGUGCAGAAAUAUUCAUGGGGCAAAUAUCAGUUAUUUCAAAUGUAGUUUGUGUUUGACAUGCAAACAAAUAGACUUGGGCUGUGUGGGAGUGGAAAACAAUGCUCAGGGCAGGGAACAGCACGUUGGAUGGCAGUUUUUUAUUUUUUUUAUAAACACCAACACAAUUAUCCACCAGGUGGCGUGCUGUUUCCUUUAUACCUCCCCCAAAGUGGAUGCAAGCAUGUCAGAACAUGUCUAUGGAAAGAGGAUAGCCAAAACCUGGUCCACAUGGUCUGAUGGCAUGUUGCCAACAGUAACUUGCGGGACCCCACCAUCGUGACUUUACUGCUCUGUCUCUUGCUCCUGUCUCCUGUUCCACAUCUCACCACCCAACUACCUUGUUCUCGAUUUUACUCACCAUCACUACAUUGGAUUCCCCUCAGGAUCUGUUUACCAAGUUCUACUCAGCCAACUCCAACCUCUGUCUCCACAUCUGGUUUUUCUGCAACUCAUCCUAGCUUCCCCGGAUCUGCACUCCAUAUCUCUCUGUGUAACAAUAAAUAUUUUGGUUCAUUCA